CAUUUCCACCAUGUACUCGAGUUCAUUUCUCACUUUGAUUGUCAUCUGCUGGCCAUAUUACAGUUACCAGCGAUAUUUGACUCAGCCUUCAUCACUGAUAGUAUCUUCGGGGGAAACUGUUAAGGUGACUUGUACUAUGGGUGGAGGAAACAUACGUGAUAUUAGCUGGUACCAAAAGAAACCUGGAAAAUCUCCAAGAUUCCUUCUGCACUAUUACUCAGAGUCAAAUAAACACACAGGUGAAGGUGUUCCUGAACGAUUCUCUACAACCAAAGAUGCUUCCGCAACAAAUUCUGUUUUAACAAUCUCCAGGGUGCAGACUGAAGAUGAUGGUGAUUAUUACUGUGCUAACUGGGAUGAUGGCUACACUCCCUUACACACAGUAAUACAGUCACAUGGGGAACUGAAACAAAUACUCUCUGCAUCACAAAAUCUGUCUCAAUAG